rnacentral:ribozyme from 14 species
AAUAAGAAAAAAAAAAAAAAAAAAAAAAAACGCAAAUAUUGAUGAUGUUUUCGACAUAUACUCGAUUUAC